UAAUAUUAUUUACUAAACCCUAAAUAUUCACUUUUAUUCUCCUCACAGCCCACCCCCCAAAACAUUUUUGAGAUCCGCCUCUUCCUCUCACUUCCGUUUCUCUCUUCUUCCCACCUCCUUCAUCCUUUAUGCUUUACCUUUGUUCUGAGUGUUAGUGCAGUGCGGUGGUGCGGUGCGGUGGUCUUACUGUUCAUGGUGCGGUGUUUUUGCUGAGGUGGUUGGUUUUAUCGGUGCAGAUUUUCCUUCAAGUUCUUGUAGUGUUGUCCAGUUGUCUUUUGGUUGCUCUAAAUAAUCAUGUUUGGUCUAUGCGGUGCUUCUCAACAAUUUUAAGUAUGAGUCAUUGAUUUAACAAGGUGGGUGUUCAUUGCUGCCUCGGGGACGAACAUUGCUAUCUUGGGGACGAAUAUUGCUAUCUUGGACCAUUUUAAGCUGAUUAAAAAGUGAUGAAUCUCUGCUGAUGUUUGCUGUUUCAAAAUCUAUAUAAAACUUGGUGUCAAAGAGGUUUAGUGUUUGCUGUUAUAAAAUGUAUAUAAAUACUGAUAUGAGCAAUCAAUUUUUUUGAUACAA